ensembl:lncRNA
GUGAGCCUGGCUUAUUUGAAGCUGAUGGUAUUCUGCCUGGCUGGGGGCUAUUACCAGCCUCCCUACUGGGAUAAACACCUGUUGUGAUUUGUCUCAGUGGCUGCUGCCAUUGGGGCUGAGAUUGACGUGGCUCUGAGUGUUUUGCAGGCCUGGGAUGGAACGCUGCUUUUGGGUUGAAAUUAGAGGGGAGGAGGGCUAUUGUCUGAGAAGAUGGACAAGCUUUUGGAUAGCAGCUGUAUGCCUUCACUGACUCUUCAUAACUUCAGUGUUGAGAUGGAUGAAGUCUCCUACAGACUCCGCAAGUCUCCCCAGAGAGCCCAAGAGGGUGUCUUUCUCAUAAUCCACCAUCACUAUGCUCCGACUGGGCACCCCGGCACACCUUCCUUUCCACCUGGGCUCCAAACUCGGCAGAGAGAGCAGACCCAUGUACUCACAGCCCUCACCGUGCACUCACAAAGGCUCCUGGCAGUGUUCUCCAGGCCCUUGAUCUUCAGAGAAAACUCACCUGCUGUCUGGGGCAGGGCAGUGGUGAUAAACCCUUGGCUGUCUCUCGUCCAUCACAGCUGCAGCCGGAUUUCCCUCGUGAUGUGGCUCCUUCACUGUCCACAUGUCUCCAGAACUGGGGCAGCCUCUAUCCUUGUGACUGCCCUGAUGAAGCCUGGGUUCUAUGGAAGCAGUGUUAGGGGCUGUGGGGGUCAGCGACUUCACAAUUUCUCAACAUAGGGGUCUUCUCGCCAAGUUUUCUGGAGGAAAGCCCCCAGCUUUCCACUAAAGAAUUCGUAGGAGGAGAACUCCCUGGCAGUCAAGUGGUUAGGACUCUGCACUUCUACUGAAAGGGGCAUGGGCGGGUUCAAUCCCGGUAGGGGAACUAAGAUCCUGCAUGCUGCACGCUGUAGCCAAAAAUUAAAUAAAUAAAUAAAACCCUUAAAAAACCAAUUCAUAGGAAAACUCCCCUCCAAGCCAUCCCAUCAUUUUGGUCCAUUUAAAUUCUUAACCCAGUAGUAGGUGGAGGGAUGGCCCAGCCCAGCAUCUGUGUCAUGGCAGGGACCAUCUCUAAGUAAAGCUUUGGAAUGCCCAGGCAGGACGAGUGUCUGUCCCUGCGCCAUCUAAGGAAGGACGCCUGGUUGCUGUGUCCCUGCUUUUCCUGCUUGGCCUUCAGUAUCUCAUGUGGCCCUUUACUUGGGGUCUGCACUGGAAGGAUGAGAAUUAAGAAGGGUUUUUCAGACCAAUGCCAUCACUAUUGUCAGUCAUUUAGCUAAGAGUGAUUUAGGUGCAAGUAUCCUAGCCUGGGUCCAUUGAUGGAGUUUAGACCUAGGAUCAUCUCACCUACAGCUUAUCCCUCCCCCUGUCUGGGUCUCAGUUUUCUCCCCAAGGAGGGACUGGGCUAAAUUAGCUUUUCAAAAAAUAUGGACUCAUAUUUUCGGAAGCAUCCUCAGUGAGAGAAGUCUAGGAAAUUCUGGGUUAAAUAAAGUUUGAAACUCCCUUUACUGUCUAACUCCCAGGGCUUCAAUUUUCAAUAAAAAGCAUUUAAAAAUUAAAAAGAGAGGUAUGUAAAAAGUUAUAUUUCCCAAACUGUAUAUCAUCCAACUCCCUUUGUUUUUUUGGCACAUAUCAUGGGACAAGUGUUCUGCUGAAUAUACUUCACAGCAGCAGAAGGCUAAAUUGUUUCCCAAGCCCUGCACCCAAUCUGUAGAGUUCCCUUUUUCUCCCUGUAUAAUUUUCCCUCUUGAUUAGAAAACAUACUGAAUGUUUAGCUCUAUAGGCAAUGCCAUAAAGGCUAAACAGGAACAAAAAAGAAAGAAAUAUAUUCAGAUUGUUAAAUCCAAGCUCCUCUUUGAGAUCUGUAUUUUAGAU